UACAGAGGGUGCAAGCGUUAAUCGGAAUUACUGGGCGUAAAGCGUGCGUAGACGGUUAUGUAAGUCAGGUGUGAAAGCCCCGGGCUCAACCUGGGAAUUGCAUUUGAGACUGCAUAGCUAGGGUGCGGAAGAGGGAAGCGGAAUUUCCGGUGUAGCGGUGAAAUGCGUAGAUAUCGGGAGGAACACCUAUGGCGAAGGCAGCUCGCUGGGACGUUACUGACGCUGAGACGCGAAAGCGUGGGGAGCAAACAGG
rnacentral:rRNA from 1 species